UGGGGCUAUUGCUCAAUGGUUAAGCACCUGCCUAGCAUGUGUGAGACCCUGGGUUCAAUCCCCAGUACACAA
rnacentral:tRNA from 1 species